GCUCCGGUCGUAUAGUUAGGUCAAACCUAGAAGGGACUAUGUAUAAUGGCCUCUCGAGCCAUCGACCCGGGUUCAAAUCCCGGCCGGAGCA
rnacentral:tRNA from 1 species